ACUUGUUGGGAACAUUGUUUUCCUUAAAUUCAUGUUUCAAACUAAAGUUUCAUUAAACAAAGAUCUUUGUUCAUGAAACCACAGAGAAUCUGGAGCUCAAACUGGUUCUGAUCCAGUUAAUAUUAAUGGUUCUGGUCCAGUUUCAGGUCCAAGGCUCUGAUGUCCACCUUCUUAAACUCUGUCACCAGCUGGGAUCUUCUGAUGCUUUGAUUUCUGCAUAAAAACUAAAAGAAGUCCAAUAAAGCCCGGACUUCACUGUGGCUCCACUUCUCUGGCUCUGGCUCCAUUUUGGUAAAUGUGAAGGUAGAAAGUGUGUGUGAGCUGAUGUGGAUGUGAAUUC